UCCCCCACGAGUCCACAUCGGACGGGRAGKUUKGGCACCUCGAUGUCGGCUCAUCGCAUCCUGGGGCUGUAGUCGGUCCCAAGGGUUGGGCUGUUCGCCCAUUAAAGCGGUACGCGAGCUGGGUUCAGAACGUCGUGAGACAGUUCGGUCCCUAUCCGUCGCGGGCGCAGGAAAUUUGAGAGGAGCUGUCCUUAGUACGAGAGGACCGGGAUGGACGUUCCGCUGGUGUACCAGUUGUGCCGCCAGGCGCAUCGCUGGGUAGCUAUGAACGGCAGGGAUAAACGCUGAAAGCAUCUAAGUGUGAAGCCCCCCUCGAGAUGAGAUUUCCCAUUCCUAUAUGGAAGUAAGACCCCUGAGAGAUGAUCAGGUAGAUAGGCUGGAAGUGGAAGUGCAGCGAUGCAUGGAGCGGACCAGUACUAAUCGGUCGAGGACUUAACCAA
rnacentral:rRNA from 2 species